UGGCGGACGGGUGAGUAAUGUCUGGGAAACUGCCUGAUGGAGGGGGAUAACUACUGGAAACGGUAGCUAAUACCGCAUAACGUCGCAAGACCAAAGAGGGGGACCUUCGGGCCUCUUGCCAUCAGAUGUGCCCAGAUGGGAUUAGCUAGUAGGUGGGGUAACGGCUCACCUAGGCGACGAUCCCUAGCUGGUCUGAGAGGAUGACCAGCCACACUGGAACUGAGACACGGUCCAG
rnacentral:rRNA from 1 species